UACGUAGGGGGCAAGCGUUGUCCGGAUUUAUUGGGCGUAAAGAGCGUGUAGGCGGUUCGGUAGGUCCGUUGUGAAAACUCGAGCUCAACCUCGAGACGCCGAUGGAACCCCGAACCUAGAGUCCGGAAGAGGAGAAUGGAAUUCCUGGUGUAGCGGUGAAAUGACGCAGAUAUCAGGAAGAACACCCGUGGCUAAGGCGGUUCUCUAGUACGGUACUGACGCUGAGACGCGAAAGCGUGGGGAGCGAACAGG
rnacentral:rRNA from 1 species